UGCAAGUCGAGCGGAUGACAGGAGCUUGCUCCUGAAUUCAGCGGCGGACGGGUGAGUAAUGCCUAGGAAUCUGCCUGGUAGUGGGGGACAACGUUUCGAAAGGAACGCUAAUACCGCAUACGUCCUACGGGAGAAAGCAGGGGACCUUCGGGCCUUGCGCUAUCAGAUGAGCCUAGGUCGGAUUAGCUAGUUGGUGAGGUAAUGGCUCACCAAGGCGACGAUCCGUAACUGGUCUGAGAGGAUGAUCAGUCACACUGGAACUGAGACACGGUCCAGACUCCUACGGGAGGCAGCAGUGGGGAAUAUUGGACAAUGGGCGAAAGCCUGAUCCAGCCAUGCCGCGUGUGUGAAGAAGGUCUUCGGAUUGUAAAGCACUUUAAGUUGGGAGGAAGGGCAUUAACCUAAUACGUUAGUGUUUUGACGUUACCGACAGAAUAAGCACCGGCUAACUCUGUGCCAGCAGCCGCGGUAAUACAGAGGGUGCAAGCGUUAAUCGGAAUUACUGGGCGUAAAGCGCGCGUAGGUGGUUCGUUAAGUUGGAUGUGAAAGCCCCGGGCUCAACCUGGGAACUGCAUUCAAAACUGACGAGCUAGAGUAUGGUAGAGGGUGGUGGAAUUUCCUGUGUAGCGGUGAAAUGCGUAGAUAUAGGAAGGAACACCAGUGGCGAAGGCGACCACCUGGACUGAUACUGACACUGAGGUGCGAAAGCGUGGGGAGCAAACAGGAUUAGAUACCCUGGUAGUCCACGCCGUAAACGAUGUCAACUAGCCGUUGGGAGCCUUGAGCUCUUAGUGGCGCAGCUAACGCAUUAAGUUGACCGCCUGGGGAGUACGGCCGCAAGGUUAAAACUCAAAUGAAUUGACGGGGGCCC
rnacentral:rRNA from 1 species